rnacentral:SRP_RNA from 1 species
ACCGGGCUUGGUAACGCUUGCCUGUAACUCAAGUGAGGGUAUUAAAGAUGGUUGGACAGUGACUCGGUCUAGUCAGGUUGGCUCCAUUGGUGCACAAGCUGGCUUGCCCGUUCCAAGUUGUGAGUUGGACCAUGUGGCUUGAGCGAAGGCUUGGGUCACGUGGUUCCUAAAGCAGGGGGCACUCCGCUCACGACAGUGGAAGGAUAACGAGCCGGGGCUCCAUGGCUCCACAAUAAUCUGCUCGGCCGUCUCAAAUGAACAACCAUCUUUUUU